rnacentral:rRNA from 1 species
GACGAACGCUGGCGGCGUGCUUAACACAUGCAAGUCGAACGGUAAAGCGCUUUGCUUUUGGGUUGGUGUGGAGGAGGGGCGAACGGGUGAGUAACACGAGAGUAACCUGCCCCCUCCUUCUGGAUAACCUCAGGAAAGUGAGGCUAAUACGGGAUAUUCUGCGCCUGCGGCAUGGUGGGUGUGGGAAAGAUUGUGCCUUUGGGUGUGUCCGGUGGGGGAUGGGGUCGCGGCGGAUCAGCUUGUUGGUGGGGUGAUGGCCUACCAAGGCGGUGACGGGGGGCCGGGCUGAGGGUCUGCCCGGUUACACUUGGACCGCGACACGGCCCCGUCUCCUACGCGGCGCAGCGGUAUGUUGUACUGCGCGCUGAGCGCUAGCCUGACGCAGCCGCGCCGCGUAAGGGAGGCUUGCCUUCGGGUUGUGAACCUCUUUCGCCAGAGAAGCAGCCCGUCUCCUUGUGGGUGUGUUGACGGUAGCUGGAGAAUAAGCGCCGGCUAACUACGUG